ensembl:lncRNA
CAGGUGUGCCGUGGAAGAUUAUCUUGUUCCAUCUGAUUAAGUGACCGGCGUGAGUAACGGGCAGAACAAUUACAUUCUCUUCCACUAGAGGGCAGUACAACUACCUGCUCUAAUAAACGGGUUGCCAACUGCCAGUAAAACAGAAGAAGACGAAGAAGAAAUUACAUAAUAGUCAUGUUGCGAGUGCGAUGACGCAGCGCAUAAUAGCAAUCGAUAAAAAUUUGAAAUGAAAAAGUAGUCAGUCUGACCUGAGUCUUGGAGAAAAUUCCGACCCAAAUGAAGGCCCAAGCAUGAGUAGUGGUCAGACACCAAAAACGGUGUACUGGCUGAUUCUAAUAUACCUGGUGUGCGGGGGGGGGGGGGGGAAUGAUCAGUAUGCUUUUUGUGACAUUUUUGUUUGGUGGUGUGAUUUUUCUAAUGUGAAAUAUGUGCCGUGGCUCCAAAAGGUUAGUAAAUGCUGCUAUUGGUGACAAUAAAAGGCUGUUUUAUUUUAGGAUAGAUCCAGGAUUUUUUUUUUUUUUUUACGGAUGACAUCUUUGGCAAUAGGAGGCAUAUUUCUAGGAUAAUGAAUAAAUUAUGUGACAUAUUGAUCCUAUUCUUUCCUGUCUUUUGGUUUCUUGUUAUUGUUAGCUCUUUAUUGAUUAUGGAUGCAUCAUACAUAGAAGUAGCCUAUUCCCACAUUACCCAAAUGGUUGUCUCAAAAAUAGACCAGAAGUGGAACACCAUAAGAGAUCGCGGAACACUGUGUUUGUUGUUACUGGUACUCAUUGGCGGCAUUUGCCCUUGCCAAAGCCUCCAACGCAAAGACAUCCACUAAUUUCAUUUACAGCCACUCUCCAUAGUGUUUUGGGACAAAAGCACAAUUUUUGUAGUUUUCCCUCUAUACACUAUCAUAGUGGAUUCAAAAUCAAACAAUCAGUGUGUGACUGAACUACAGACUUUAAUUAUUGGGGGGGUUUACAAAAACCAUUUAAAAAUAAGAGCCAUGCACCUUCAGAGGUUCAGAAUUGAUGGGACAGCAGACUGACAAGCAGUUUUAUGGCCAGAUGAGGCCUCCUCGCUAGUUAUUUUAUGACACAUGAAACAAGAAUAACAUCAGACAUUGUGGCUCAAGAGUUUGGUGUGCGCCUUGUAAUCGGAAAGUUGCCGGUUCGAGCCCCAGCUCCGACAGUCUCGGUCGUUGUGUCCUUGGGCAAGACACUUCACCCGUUGCCUACUGGUGGUGGUCAGAGGGCCCGGUGGCGUCAGUGUCCGGCAGCCUCGCCUCUGUCAGUGCGCCCCAGGGCGGCUGUGGCUACACUGUAGCUUGCCAUCGCCAGUGUGUGAAUGGGUGGAUGAUUGUGUAUAGUGUAAAGCGCUUUGGGGUCCUUAGGACCAAGUAAAGCACAAUACAAAUACAGGCCAUUUACCAUUGAUUAAAAAGCAUUGGAU